rnacentral:rRNA from 1 species
UUCCCGUACUUGGUGUUACUGCGAAGGGGGGACGGAGAAGGCUAUGUUGGCCGGGCGACGGUUGUCCCGGUUUAAGCGUGUAGGUGUGUGUUCCAGGUAAAUCCGGUUCACUUUAACACUGAGGCGUGACGACGAGGCACUACGGUGCUGAAGCAACAAAUGCCCUGCUUCCAGGAAAAGCCUCUAAGCAUCAGGUAACACGAAAUCGUACCCCAAACCGACACAGGUGGUCAGGUAGAGAAUACCAAGGCGCUUGAGAGAACUCGGGUGAAGGAACUAGGCAAAAUGGUGCCGUAACUUCGGGAGAAGGCACGCUGACACGUAGGUGAAGUGAUUUACUCAUGGAGCUGAAGUCAGUCGAAGAUACCAGCUGGCUGCAACUGUUUAUUAAAAACACAGCACUGUGCAAACACGAAAGUGGACGUAUACGGUGUGACGCCUGCCCGGUGCCGGAAGGUUAAUUGAUGGGGUCAGCGUAAGCGAAGCUCCUGAUCGAAGCCCCGGUAAACGGCGGCCGUAACUAUAACGGUCCUAAGGUAGCGAAAUUCCUUGUCGGGUAAGUUCCGACCUGCACGAAUGGCGUAAUGAUGGCCAGGCUGUCUCCACCCGAGACUCAGUGAAAUUGAACUCGCUGUGAAGAUGCAGUGUACCCGCGGCAAGACGGAAAGACCCCGUGAACCUUUACUAUAGCUUGACACUGAACAUUGAGCCUUGAUGUGUAGGAUAGGUGGGAGGCUUUGAAGUGUGGACGCCAGUCUGCAUGGAGCCGACCUUGAAAUACCACCCUUUAAUGUUUGAUGUUCUAACGUGGACCCGUAAUCCGGGUUGCGGACAGUGUCUGGUGGGUAGUUUGACUGGGGCGGUCUCCUCCUAAAGAGUAACGGAGGAGCACGAAGGUUGGCUAAUCCUGGUCGGACAUCAGGAGGUUAGUGCAAUGGCAUAAGCCAGCUUGACUGCGAGCGUGACGGCGCGAGCAGGUGCGAAAGCAGGUCAUAGUGAUCCGGUGGUUCUGAAUGGAAGGGCCAUCGCUCAACGGAUAAAAGGUACUCCGGGGAUAACAGGCUGAUACCGCCCAAGAGUUCAUAUCGACGGCGGUGUUUGGCACCUCGAUGUCGGCUCAUCACAUCCUGGGGCUGAAGUAGGUCCCAAGGGUAUGGCUGUUCGCCAUUUAAAGUGGUACGCGAGCUGGGUUUAGAACGUCGUGAGACAGUUCGGUCCCUAUCUGCCGUGGGCGCUGGAGAACUGAGGGGGGCUGCUCCUAGUACGAGAGGACCGGAGUGGACGCAUCACUGGUGUUCGGGUUGUCAUGCCAAUGGCACUGCCCGGUAGCUAAAUGCGGAAGAGAUAAGUGCUGAAAGCAUCUAAGCACGAAACUUGCCCCGA